CGAGGGUGGGGGCUUCGGGCGGUGCUGGGAGGCGGGGAGCCGGGCAACCCGAGCGGCGGGAGGAGUGCGGAGUCGGGAGUGGCCAGCCAAUCAGGAGGGCAGUGCCACCUCAGGGAAUGACGCUCGGGCCAAUGGGACGGGCACUCCAUUCCGUCAACGCCGUGGGUCGGGGCUCUGAGAAAAGAGAGCAGGGUGGGAGUCGGGCCAGGCGGGUGUGUACCCAGGGGAGGGGAGACGCGAGAGAAGUUCCUGCGAAGAACUGCGGGAAUGUGCGGCUGGAAUUCACUCUCCUCCCGCCUGGGCUGCCGAGGGAGCGCUGGGCCCGGCUCACGGAUUCCCUGCCACUUCCAAUAGCGCGGCCCAGGGUCCCUCCGCCGCCCGUCACUCCAUCCCUGGGAUUCCAGUGCCUUAAGAAAGACGCGCUGUUCAAGAAGGCACGUUCGUUCUGUUCCGUGUUUCCCCCUCCGUUUCAUUAUUCUCCUUUUCACAAUUGCUGAAACCAUAAUGAUGGAAUGGAAUGUGGAGCCUUCCGUUUUCUUUCUUUCUUUUUCUUUCUUUCUUUCUUUCUUUCUUUCUUUCUUUCUUUCUUUCUUUCUUUCUUUCUUUCUACGCUAAAGCUUAGCAAAAGAAAAGAGAAAGCCGAAUCGAAUGCAGGGUUUUUUUUUUUGUUUUGUUUUUUUGGUGAAGGAAAAUAUAAAUAAAACAAAACCGCCAGGGGUUUUUCUUUUACUCAUCAAAUGCAUAAGUGGGCUAAGGAAAUGCGAUUGCCUUGUACAUAAAUUAGAGCGCGUAAAGAUUAAAAAUGCAUGGGCAAGGAGUAUUUAAAAUUCUGCUAUGACAUAUAAUAUUAAUCCGUUUUAUGUAAAAUUCAUACCUGUAACUUAAUUUAGGCCAUUAAUGCACCACUUCACGCAUUAGCGUAUCCUGCUUUAAAUAAGGUGGUGAGAAUGUCCACAGUCUCCUUUGGCAACAAAGCAUAAAAUUCACACUUCCAGUCCUGAGAUCCUGCUUGGGCCCCACCCUGCAAAAACGCCUGUUCAUUAAGGACGUUUUGUGUUCGAUUUCUAACGGAAAAGCUGUCCUUCAAGGGUUCAAAAUUAAACUGCACAAUGAACUCUGGUGGGGCGUUGUGUGUACCCUUCAAGAAAUAAUUAAGCCCUUCAGAUGAGAAAUGAGCAUAAAAACUCUUAGUUAGUGGGGAAAUGAAUUUUGAGUGGCUUCACCCUGCAAACCCUCCCACCUUUAGACACGCUUGGAGAUGAAUUAUCCCAAGAAUUUUCUUCCUUCAUGUACAUGGCAUGGAUUGCUGUCUUCAUUUUCAUUGAAAAUUGAGAGAAAGAGAUGUGGAGCCCAUUUCUUCGGGUCUACCCCCUGUGUGGACUUGGUUUUCUUCCUGUCUGCCUCCCUUCCCAGAACUGAAAUACUUGCAGAAGACAAGUAUUUUGUUUCACCAUGUGGCUACUUUAUGACAAUUGCACUAUUUCCCCAGAGCACAUUCCUUUUUCCUGAUGAAGGAAGAGCAACUAUUUAAUACUGGCUUCACAGGUAGAUGCAGUAACCUCCUGUCCCCUAAACCUCAUUCCUUGCUGCCUCUAAUAUUUGUUUAGAAGCAAAUGACACUCUCAUUUAUGUAUGUGCCUGUGUAGGAUAGUCUCCAUUUAUCAAGAAAAUCAGAAUUAUACAAGUCAAAAGAAGGAUUUUCUUCUCAAACCAGGCCUAAUCCUAUACAUUUGUAAAGUAAUAUAAAUAUACACAGAGAAUACUGUGAUUUUAGACAGAUGGGGGGGGGGAGCCCCAGUGGGUGGAAGCUAUUUUCUUGGAGCCUGUCCUAUCAGCACAGAUGAUAAUGAUAAAUGGAUAUAUGUACAGAUGUUUUUGUUCCAUGAUUUUUCUUGUAUAUAGAAUUUAAAAUCUGCUUCCAAAUGAAAAACCCAAGAUUUUUCAAAAUUGAAGUAUGUGAAUGUGUCCAGGGCACACCCAUAUUUAAAAAUUUUAUAUAUCCUAACUUGAUUAAAAUUUAAGUUUUAAGUAUGUGACACAAAGGAACAAUCAUAUUUAUCAUUUUGGAUUUUGCUAGAUCUCAAAGAGACCCACACCUUGGGUGUGGCCAAUGCCAAAUGCCACAGUUUCAAGUUUUGUUGGAGGUGGUUUUUGUGUCUGACUGAAAGUUAGAAAGGGUGACUUUCUUUGGGAGACGGGAGUUCAAAGGAUUUAUCAUAGCCACUUGAUCAAGAACAUCCAGGAAAACUGUGAUCUCCAAAUCCUGCCAGCAGAGUAGGCAGGAGCAGUUAACUGUAUUCCUCGUUUUGAAGGUGGGAAGACAUGAAGACUUUGGAAAAAAAAACCCAUAAAACUUUAUAUAGUAGGAAUAAGAAUAUGAUCCUGUCCUUUUUGACCCAUGAAACUAGAGAAUAGUAGAGGCUACACGCUGAAUGUUGUUUUCUUAGCCAUAGGCACUGAGAUGAUGUCAAAAACCUGAAAUCAUAAGAUUCCUGGCACUGAGAGUUCAAAACAGAGUUCAUUCAGCAGUUACCAGGUUUUGAAUAAACUGUGCAAGCCACAUUAUUUCUACUGCUCAGAGAAAGACAUUUAGUUUACCUGUGGCUCUUGCUUUAAUAUCAAAGUGUUUUACUUGCGCUUGUGAAAAUGAGGUGGGCUGGCCCAGAGCUCAUUACAAUGGACAUUCUAGGGCCCCUCACACUCACCUCAGUGGGCCUGGGGUGAAACAUGAUAGAAGGAGCACUAGGAAACCUUGGUGACCGGGGUCGUGUACAUACCCCUCCCAGGACAAAGAGAUCUGCAGUGCUAUCUGGGAAGCAUUCUGAAUGCCAGUCGGCCCUUGCAGAUCUGGGACACCCAGGCUCCGAGAUUUCACAGUCACCCUGUUUACCCUAAACAGGGGUACCCAAGCAUACGGGGCUGUUCAGCCUGAUGUCUCUAGGAGUGGAUACUUUCUUCUUCAAGGACUGGUGGGGAAUAGUGGGUGGGCUCAGACCUACAGAAAAACAUGUGUUCCAUACCUUGGUCACUCUCUAGGUGUAAGUGGUUGCUGAAGGAGGUACACACAUUCUUUGGGAGCAUAAGAAACCACUCUGUACUCUACAGCCAGAAUGGCCCUUGCUCCAAAAGAGUAAGUUGGGCAAUGUCGGAACUGGAGCUCAAGGCUGCUGUAUAAGCACUAGUGCUGAUACAAACUUACUCCUGUUGCCUUUAGGUUGCUGAGGCCAGGCUGGAAAUACUGAUAACCUCUUGGUUUGCUCAGUCUUACAAAAAAGGCUUACAGAAAAAGGAUGUUGUAAAUUCAGUGUGGCCUACUAGACAUGGCCCCGCAAAAUACCCAUCCCAGGAGGUUUUCAAGGUAGUCUGGUUUAAUAAGAUGUAGCUAUGUUUUAAAAAGUCCUCCUCAGGCUGGCGGGGGGGGGGGAGGAAGGAAAAAAUGGCAUUUGUUUUACCUUGGAGACAUGAAGAGUUUAGGUUCUGAAGUCGAUAGAUAGUCUGUGCUCCAAUUUUGGCUUCCUUGCUAGUUACUUUUAUAUCAUUAAAAUAGCUUCGUAAACACCUGUACCUUUCAAUUACAAUAAAAAUUAUAUGUACUUCAUAAGGUGCUUAUUCAAUACACACACACUUAAAUGGCCUCUGGGCAAGAAAGUGUGUUAAGUGAAUGUCACAUAGUAAGUGGGCAAUGUUAAAAAUUUUGUUGCUUUUGAUAAAUAUUAUCUCACAGUCUGUGGCUUGUCUUUAUAUUCACUUCAUCUCUUUCAAGAGCAGAAGUUUUAAAUUUUGGUGAAGUCCAGUUUGUCAGUGUGUCCUUAAUUCAGGGUGACAUAGAUUUUCUCCUAUGUUCAGGUAUCUGGUCCUUGUUUUCUGUAUUAUGUUUAAGUCUAUGAUUUAUUCUGGAGGUUUUUUUUUUUGUAUGUGGUGCAAGAUAUGGGUGAAUAUUGAUACUUUUGCAUAUUUUAAUUCAGUUGUUCCUGAAACUUUUGUUGAAAAACUUCUUUUUGCCUUAAAUUGCCUUUGCGGUUUUGUCAAAAGUCAUUGUAUAUAGGUGUCCUUCUAUCUGUCCUCUAAAUUCUGCUCCAUUCUUCUACUUACUAGUUUUUAUGCACAACCAUGUUGUGUUUAUUACUAUAGCUUCAUACUAAGCCUUGAAAGCAGAUAAUGUUGGCCAUUGAGCUUCCUGCUGUGUUCCUCUUUUUGACUAUUCUGGAUAUAUUGCAUUUUCAUAUGAAUUUUUGAGUCAGUUUGUGAAUUCCUUCCAAGAAGGACUUACAUUCAAAACAUAUAAGGCACGGAGAACUCACUAGGAGAGUGCCUGUGUAGCAUGCAUGAGCCUCUGGGUUUGAUUCCUAGCACAGAAAAAAAAAGUGUUCACAAAACAUAUAAAGUAUCUCUACCCAUGAUAUAUAAAGAACUCUCAAAUUCAACAGUAAGAAAGUGAACAACCCCAGUUUUAAAAGUGGGCAAAAGAGUUGACCAGACAACCUAGUAAAGAAGAAAUAAAAAUGGUAGAUGAAUACAUGACAAGCUGCUUGAUAUCAUUAGUCAUACGAAGCAUACAUUUCACAACUACAAUGAAGCAUUACCACAUACCUGUGAAAACUGCUAAAAUUAAAGACUGAACAUGCUAAGUAUUGGUGAUUCUGGAGAGCAGCUAUCAUGAACUGUUGGUGGAUAGGAAUAUAAAACGAGGAAGACUACCUUGGAAAAGAAUUUGGCAGUUUCUUAAAAAGUUAAACAUUGCCAGAGGUGGUGUGUGUAAGCCCACCUACUAGGGAGGUCAAGGGAGGAGGAUCACAAGUUUGAGGCCAGCCUCAGCAAUUUAGCAAGACCCUGUCGCAAAACAAAUAGGGCUGGGGAUGCAGCUCAGUGGUAAAGCACCCUUGGGCUCAGUUCAAUCCUCAGUAAAACACACACACACACACACACACACACACACGGUAAACAUACCAUCAUAUGGCCCAUCCAAUCCACUGCUAGGCAACUGUUCUAGUCCAAGAGAAAUCUAACUAUCUGUCAGAGGGCCAUGAGGGGGCAUGGAGAGGCAUAGGAAUGGUGGGUGUGUUCAUUAUUUUGUUUGCCCUACAUCAUGUUACUCUGAGCCAGCUAUCACAGCAUCAACCAAAUAGUGGCAAGCUGCCUCCAACGAAGGUACGAGGCGUGGACUGCUGUAGUGGACCAGCCGCUGUGGCUGUCUGUGACCACGGUCUUUCACUGGCUAUAAAUGAACCAUGCUGAAAACCACACCCUUGUUUCAUGUUGUUCUGGUGCGACAUGGAUUCAAUACUCUGAGGAGGACCAACCUAAUUAUUGGAAAUAUUCUCGCUGUGCAAACAGUGUUCUGCACUCCUGCCCCUGCGCUUCCUCCGGCUGGAGCCUCUGCUACCUCAAUCACCCCAAGUUGCAGCUGCUUUGGUGAGAACCCCCAGUGGGUGGAGAGGGAAGAAACCUCAUCAUGCCAUAUUCAGGGUGGUCUAGUUUUUCUCCUUUGACUCUUUCCUUAGGAAGAAAGAUGAGCAUUCUAACAGGACUAAAUACCUUCUAUUGCUCUGUCUAGAGUAGGAAACAAAAAUUCCUAAUGGGUACCAUAUUUUUCCCCCCAAAGCUCUGUUACUUGAUGCUGCAGUCUGGCUGGGCACAAAUCACCGAGCCGCCACAAAGCACUUGUAUCUUCAAACAGGAAACCUUAUUGCCUGAACUCCAACAGAACUCCACACACACUCUCCAGGAACUCUCCCGAAGGCCACCCACGUGGCCCCCAGGAACACCACACACCAACCGGAACUCCCUCCACUGUGCUGCAUGCGCAUUCACUCUCAGAACCGUGAGAACUCCACGGGAACUUCAAAGUGGAGGGCAUCCGAGGCAGCAAAAGCCGCCCUAUUAUGGUGUAAAGGUCUAAUAUACAAUUGAAUCAAUCCAGCAUCAUCUUAAUGGCUCGCCUCUGAACCAUUACUUCUGGCAAAAUGCCAGGGGCCAUUCCGACUUGGCUGUGGCUCUCAACAACUUGAUCUGUUACUCAGAUCUCUUUGUGACAGGAGGGAGGAAUCCUAGGGAUAGACUGAGGAUUAACUGGUUUUGAAAGUCCCAGAUAAGCAAUGGAGAGGAAUAAUUUGUGCAUGCUGGUCCUGCUUAGUGUCCUCUGAUGUCUAUGCUGGUAUUGAGGGGGGCUCUUAGGAGGUAAAAUGGUCGUGAGGAUGCCAAGAAGUUCAAGGGUUUGCUUUUGCUCUGUGGUAUUUUAAGCAGAGAAAUUCAGGGCAAGGAUAUUACUACUAUUUAAAAAUUCAACCCAGAGGAUGUAGAUGUGCUGAUGUUGCUGCAAUUUUGUUUCAUCCAGUUAUUGUCACGAGGAGAGUCAUCACCAAGCACUAGUCCCUUCACAGAGCAAACUGUUGCUAGAGUCACACUAACGAAGGGGUUUUAAUUCUAUUUCUCUUUCCUAUAAGAGAAUAUGAAAUAAUUCCAAGAUACUGUAUUUAAUGUGUUUUGACUAUGUAGAGGAAACACUGAAACAACAAACAAAUGGCAAAUCACAUUUUGAAACUGAAUACUGAUCAUGCCGUGAGUCCAUCUUGGUAAAUCUGCCUUUAUGGAAGAAAAAGCUCUCCCGUUUGGUUGAUAUCUAGGUCAUGGUUCCUAAGAACUGAUACAAUGUUCAAGACACUUGCAACUUUUUUUUUCCCUGAAGAGGAAUUUUUCAGAGAUUUUUGUAGACCCCCACGCAGUUGCCAUGGGCUGUGGGAUAGGAGGUGGUUCCAGGGAGCUUGGUCCCCGCAGCAGCAAAGGCUGUGUGGAAAGCAGGAGAAUGGUAUGAAAACUCACUUGUUUGUGAAAUAAUCAAAGGAGUGCAGUUUCUCUACUAGUAAAAUGGGCAGUAAAUCUUAAAGGAAUUAAAGAUGCAGAAUUAAAGGAAAAUGAGCGGCUUAACUGUGCUUUAUGAAUACUGGUAAUUCUAUGUUAGGACAGUCCAGUUUAAAUGAACCAUCUUCAGGGAAGGAAUUAUAAAAAUCUAAUUUUUUGUUCUUGAAGAGAAUUAAAUCAAAUACAUAAUCUUUGGGGAUUAAAAGUCUUAAUCAAAUAUCUUUUUCUUAAAAUAUGACUCGUUGACAAAAUAAUCCCAAAGUGUGACCCAACAUUGUAUUCUUGGUCUGCUGUAAUUAUAUUUACCAUUUUGAAAACAUCUUGUUCAUGAAGUUAAAGUUAAUGCUUGAUUGUCUGUUUAUAUCAUGUUUUCAAAACGGGUAAAAUGGGUGUCACCAGGAAGGAAUAUGACAGUGACAGGGACAGCACUGCAAAAAUGCAAAGUACGUUUUCAUCACGGUGUGUAGGCACAGGACUGGAGCCACCGGACAUAAAGGAACUGGCUAAAGAUGUUUUUAACAUGGUCAUCCAUCCAUUCUUCUGUGUUCGUCUGGAAUCUACAACCUGUAGUAUAUGAAAUGCUUUUGCCUCUCAGCAGACUGCUAAGUGGACAGUGUUUGGCACCUUCCAACGCUGUGCAUUAACAGUAUCUCCAGACAUGCCAGCUCCCAUCUCUGGUAACACAGAGGGAAUAAUGGAAAUGCUUUCUUUAUUCAGCUUCUAGAAAACCAUCCUCAUGUGCUAAUGACACAUAUGCUUAAAACCUCUCUACUUGAAUUCUACCAAAACUAACUCUCCCUCCCCACCUGUAAGAUGCUGUUAACUUAUCCUUCUCCAAAACUGUUCCAACAGCAUUCAAGUCAAUUCGAGUCAAGCCAAAACAAACAUGUAUGGUACAUCUAUUAUAGGACAAGACUGUGUUUAAAAAACAGGAAGUCCCUCACUCUUUACAGAGCUUGCUGUUUAGACAAUGUUUGAAUGAACUGAAAAUCAGUUAAUGCAAUUCAGUAUGUACAGGCAAGGAUAGAGCACGGCGGGGGCAGAGGCCAAAGCCUGCAGUAAAGGCAGCUUCAUACAGGAAGGGAGAGUUGCCAGGGUGGCCAGAGGGAUGGCUUCAUCAAGGGAGACAUCCCAGAUGGUGGGAAGAGCAUCUGCAGAAGUGUGGAGGAGAGCCCCUGCAAGGGUCUCGCUGGUUCUCUGCUUCAGCUGGCCCACUCUGAAAUUUCUUACAUUCAGUUAGUCCCUCCCUUCCUCAUCUCAUGCUAGCCUUCCUAUGUUAAGUGUUUCCCACUUGCUCUUGUUCUUCAGUGCAAUCAAAAACAUGUUGGGACGUAGUGAUACACAGCCUCUUCCUCCAGGAAACCAUCCAUCAUUCAUUCCCUGAUGAUAAUCACUUAAAAAUAACAUUGGUUUUUCAUUUUGCAAUCAAAGCAUAUACAUAUUGAAAAAAAUCAGAAAAUACAGACAAACAUAAAAUGGAAAUAAAGGUCAUCCACGAACCCACACCCAGAUAAAAACCUCUGUGACUAUUUUAUUGUACAUACGUCCAGAUUUUCCCCACCCAUGUGGAUAUUUUUCCUUGAACAAAAAUUACAGUGUACAAUACUUAUCCUUGGAAAUCUAAUUUUUUGCUUCAUGUAAUGUGGAUCUAUUUCCUAAACAAAACUUACCUGUGGCACAACUUCUGCGGUUGCAUAGGAUUCUUGCUUGGAUCUGCCUUAACCUAUUUAACAAACACUUUAUUACAAAUAUUUUUAUUAUUUCCAUUUUUGUCAUGUUCUCUUAUCAUGUCUGAUGGGUUUAUUUCAUCUUAAUAUUACACAUUACCCAACAGGUUGCAUUUGUUGACAUGUUACUGUGCAAUUACUUUCAAGUUAUGUGAGUGCUAUGGUUUGGGUGUGUCCGCUGGAAUUCAAGUGUUGGAACCAAAUGUCUAGUCAUAUGUUAAUGAUGGGGGCGAGACCUUUGAGAGGUGACUGCAUCAAUAGGGAUCUGCCCUGAUGAAUGGACUCAUCCAUUCAUGGGUUAAUGGAUUAAUGGGAUAUUGAGGAAGUGAGUUAGGUAUCCCAAGGGUGGAUGUGUUAGGAAAUCUAGAUUGGCCAUCUUUCAUGAGCCCCCUCACCAUGUCAUGCCCAGAACUGCCUUGGAAUUCUACAGAGUUCCCACCUGAGGAAUGCCCUCCCCAGAUGCAAGUCCUUGACCUUGGACUUCCUAGCCUCUAGAACUAUAAGAAAUUAAUUUCUUUCAUUUAUAAAUUAACCAAUCUCAGGCAUUUUAUUAUAGCAACAGAAAACAGGAAGACAGGAUUGUGUAUCUGUAGGUCUUCCAUGAAGUCAAAGCAUCUUAGAGACAUGGGCAAUUUUUCCUUAUUAGGAAUUAUUCAUAUAUAGCAAGUGUUCACUGCUGCUCAGAUGGGUUGGCACAGUCUGCUAGGAUGACAUCUGAAUGAACAUUUGUCUGGGGGUGACCUGCAGAUGUUGUCCACCGUUCAAACAGUGGCUGGCCUGUUGGAAUGGAGAACAAAAGGAACAGGAGCAGAUAGUAGUGGAUCCACUGGUUCAGCAGAUGGCCCAAGAAGGUUCCAAUUCGCUUCCCAGGAAGCUUUAGGAAACCUGCUAGAACUUUAGAUGAUGAAUUUGCUAGAGAUUUUCUCAGGUGAGGAAAGGACAGACCACACUGGGGGGGUGGGGGUGGAGCAGAUCACCUGAUGCUGGAGAUCAAGCGUGGGAGCCAUGCAAGGGGGUCUCAGUGCAGCUACAGGUCUUGCUGCUUCUUGCUCCACUCUGGAUUCACAGCUACACUAAACUUCCUGUUCCUUCCUUCAACUCUUUAUUUCUUGCUCAAUCAUCUUCUGCAACCGAGACAUGAACACAGUUCCAGACAAGGUGGCAAUGAAGUUGAUGUCCCUCUGCACACCACCCAGCCAUCCGACUCACCUCAUUGGUUCCAGGUGUUUUAUUCACCUGGAUCAAGCCAGUUUUCUUCUGAAGUUAUAGUGACCCCCACACUUGUAAUCUUAAAGGGGGAAAAAACACUCUCUGUUUGUUGGUCAAAACCUAAACAAGGAAUAAAUAGUAAAAUGCAAUUUUUGCCAGAUUCCUUUUGGAAAUUCAGAUGCUCAUUCAUUUUAUUGAACAGCCAAACAGAGCUGUGUAACUUAAGAUAGUGGUUCCAGUGAACGGACCAACAGAUGAGGUAGAGAGGG
rnacentral:lncRNA from 1 species